UUUAUUUUAAAGAGGGCGUAGGUGAGGUGGCUGCGGGGAGGGCAUCGGCGCAGGGCUGUGCGGCUCCUGCGGAUGAGACUGCAGUCAGGGCACGGUCGGGAGCCACACACAGAAUUGGUUUAGUAGAAGAAUUCGGCCUUCUUCCUGAAUUACCUCAUGGAGAUCUGACUUCCCACCCCACCUCUCCUGACAACACCUCAUAGAGACCUGACUGCCCCUACCCACCGGCCCAGAGGAACCACUGAGGUGACUGCAAAUAUUGGUCUUCGGGACCAGCGGCGAAGCUCACCAUUAGGCUUCAUUGGGAGAAGCCGGGGAAAAGCUCAAGCACUCAAGCAGAACAUGGAGAACAAGAUACAGUACAAAACUGCGGUCAUCUGACUCCAACUUCCACUUUGGGCUUCAGUCAGAGUGAAAAAGA